rnacentral:rRNA from 1 species
UGGCUGGGGGUGAAAGGCCAAUCAAACCGGGAGAUAGCUGGUUCUCCCCGAAAGCUAUUUAGGUAGCGCCUCGUGAAUUCAUCUCCGGGGGUAGAGCACUGUUUCGGCAAGGGGGUCAUCCCGACUUACCAACCCGAUGCAAACUGCGAAUACCGGAGAAUGUUAUCACGGGAGACACACGGCGGGUGCUAACGUCCGUCGUGAAGAGGGAAACAACCCAGACCGCCAGCUAAGGUCCCAAAGUCAUGGUUAAGUGGGAAACGAUGUGGGAAGGCCCAGACAGCCAGGAUGUUGGCUUAGAAGCAGCCAUCAUUUAAAGAAAGCGUAAUAGCUCACUGGUCGAGUCGGCCUGCGCGGAAGAUGUAACGGGGCUAAACCAUGCACCGAAGCUGCGGCAGCGACGCUUAUGCGUUGUUGGGUAGGGGAGCGUUCUGUAAGCCUGCGAAGGUGUGCUGUGAGGCAUGCUGGAGGUAUCAGAAGUGCGAAUGCUGACAUAAGUAACGAUAAAGCGGGUGAAAAGCCCGCUCGCCGGAAGACCAAGGGUUCCUGUCCAACGUUAAUCGGGGCAGGGUGAGUCGACCCCUAAGGCGAGGCCGAAAGGCGUAGUCGAUGGGAAACAGGUUAAUAUUCCUGUACUUGGUGUUACUGCGAAGGGGGGACGGAGAAGGCUAUGUUGGCCGGGCGACGGUUGUCCCGGUUUAAGCGUGUAGGCUGGUUUUCCAGGCAAAUCCGGAAAAUCAAGGCUGAGGCGUGAUGACGAGGCACUACGGUGCUGAAGCAACAAAUGCCCUGCUUCCAGGAAAAGCCUCUAAGCAUCAGGUAACAUCAAAUCGUACCCCAAACCGACACAGGUGGUCAGGUAGAGAAUACCAAGGCGCUUGAGAGAACUCGGGUGAAGGAACUAGGCAAAAUGGUGCCGUAACUUCGGGAGAAGGCACGCUGAUAUGUAGGUGA